UGCAGCCCCUUAAGCAGAGAAGGAGAUGGGUUAUCAGGUGAAUGAGGAAGGGUCUGGGAGCUUCCGUUUUACCCUAAGGUUCUAGGAUUCUCUGACAUCCACGGGGGAGUCUCCCCUGGGAGCAGCUGAACUGAGCAGUGGCUUCUAAAGAAAGGUCACAGCCACAAAGACCUUUGUAAAGCAACAGCCUGAGUUCCUGGGAGGUCCAAUGCCUUGAUCUGGUGAACAGCGUUAGCAGAAGCCAAGAGCUGGAAUCCACAUGCACUUUGUCCCAAGGACUGUAUGUAAGGGGACUCAAACAUAAGACAGGGUUCCUGCCCUCGGCACAGAGGAUGGGGAAAGCCAGCGCAAAUUAGGCGGGAGAGCUGAAAUUCAGCGGAACAGUCACAAGGAUUACAAAGCAAACUUAACCAGUAGCGCUUCCUCACCGCCUCCCCCGCAAAAAAGUGUUUUUCUCCGGGGCCCAACCAGGGUUCCGGAAAGAGGUGGGCCCCUCCCAGUCUGCAGUGCAAAGUCUACAGAGGAAGAGGGGACUAUUAUUCAAAUCACGACAGCACCAUGCCAUCCAUUCCGCCAGAGCAGAGGCUCCCCUAGCUCCCCCAGUCCUGGGAAACCAGCGACCACUGGAAGCAUGAGGUCCGGCUUCAGCAGGGUGUAGCGGGGAGCUCUGCGCUGGCAACAGUUUCC
rnacentral:lncRNA from 1 species